rnacentral:rRNA from 1 species
GAUGAACGCUGGCGGCGUGCCUAAUACAUGCAAGUCGAGCGAACGGACGAGAAGCUUGCUUCUCUGAUGUUAGCGGCGGACGGGUGAGUAACACGUGGAUAACCUACCUAUAAGACUGGGAUAACUUCGGGAAACCGGAGCUAAUACCGGAUAAUAUUUUGAACCGCAUGGUUCAAAAGUGAAAGACGGUCUUGCUGUCACUUAUAGAUGGAUCCGCGCUGCAUUAGCUAGUUGGUAAGGUAACGGCUUACCAAGGCAACGAUGCAUAGCCGACCUGAGAGGGUGAUCGGCCACACUGGAACUGAGACACGGUCCAGACUCCUACGGGAGGCAGCAGUAGGGAAUCUUCCGCAAUGGGCGAAAGCCUGACGGAGCAACGCCGCGUGAGUGAUGAAGGUCUUCGGAUCGUAAAACUCUGUUAUUAGGGAAGAACAUAUGUGUAAGUAACUGUGCACAUCUUGACGGUACCUAAUCAGAAAGCCACGGCUAACUACGUGCCAGCAGCCGCGGUAAUACGUAGGUGGCAAGCGUUAUCCGGAAUUAUUGGGCGUAAAGCGCGCGUAGGCGGUUUUUUAGUCUGAUGUGAAAGCCCACGGCUCAACCGUGGAGGGUCAUUGGAAACUGGAAAACUUGAGUGCAGAAGAGGAAAGUGGAAUUCCAUGUGUAGCGGUGAAAUGCGCAGAGAUAUGGAGGAACACCAGUGGCGAAGGCGACUUUCUGGUCUGUAACUGACGCUGAUGUGCGAAAGCGUGGGGAUCAAACAGGAUUAGAUACCCUGGUAGUCCACGCCGUAAACGAUGAGUGCUAAGUGUUAGGGGGUUUCCGCCCCUUAGUGCUGCAGCUAACGCAUUAAGCACUCCGCCUGGGGAGUACGACCGCAAGGUUGAAACUCAAAGGAAUUGACGGGGACCCGCACAAGCGGUGGAGCAUGUGGUUUAAUUCGAAGCAACGCGAAGAACCUUACCAAAUCUUGACAUCCUUUGACAACUCUAGAGAUAGAGCCUUCCCCUUCGGGGGACAAAGUGACAGGUGGCGCAUGGUUGUCGUCAGCUCGUGUCGUGAGAUGUUGGGUUAAGUCCCGCAACGAGCGCAACCCUUAAGCUUAGUUGCCAUCAUUAAGUUGGGCACUCUAAGUUGACUGCCGGUGACAAACCGGAGGAAGGUGGGGAUGACGUCAAAUCAUCAUGCCCCUUAUGAUUUGGGCUACACACGUGCUACAAUGGACAAUACAAAGGGCAGCGAAACCGCGAGGUCAAGCAAAUCCCAUAAAGUUGUUCUCAGUUCGGAUUGUAGUCUGCAACUCGACUACAUGAAGCUGGAAUCGCUAGUAAUCGUAGAUCAGCAUGCUACGGUGAAUACGUUCCCGGGUCU